rnacentral:rRNA from 1 species
GACAGAGGGUGCAACCGUUGUUCGGAAUUACUGGGCGUAAAGCGCGUGUAGGCGGCAGGGCAAGUCGGAUGUGAAAGCCCACGGCUCAACCGUGGAAGUGCACCCGAAACUGCCUCGCUAGAGUCUCGGAGAGGAAGGUGGAAUGCUUGGUGUAGAGGUGAAAUUCGUAGAUAUCAAGCGGAACACCGGUGGCGAAGGCGGCCUUCUGGACGAUGACUGACGCUGAGACGCGAAAGCGUGGGGAGCAAACAGG